CAACCGUCCGUCCGUUCCCUUUGCAGAUGUCGACGGCGAGCUGCUGUGCAGGCGUGAAUCUGCUGUGUCAGCAGCAGAUUCACGUCGAAAUGAACUUACGUUGAAAUAAAACUACGUCGACCGGUUGUCUGUGUAUUGGCCGGCGAGAGAAAGUGAGGUUAAAGACCGCGGACACGGUUUGCUAUGAGCUGGAGAAUUCGCACACCAUCUUCCCAUUUCAUGGCAAAACAGGUCCCGGUGAAAAAGCUGACGGUGCGUGGUGCGGAGCCCCGCCAGGCGACAUCCGACGCUCGGCUUGUCACUGUCCACCAAAGAAGCCACAUUUGACACAUAUAGGCAACCACAGGGUCCCGUCAGAAUGCCAGAAAGAAAAGAAUGAGUUUAGAUGUGCUUUCAUAAAGCGUAGUCAGCGCAAUAUGAGCACUAGUUUGAGAGUAAUUGCUGCAUCCGCUAAUGAAAUAUGCUGAGCAUCAUCCAUUCGCUGG